GCAGCAAUUGUGGAUGACUUUCCUUUAAUUAUGCAUGAGCCCCAGAGUCUACUGUAUAAAGAAUCUGUAACCAAGAAUCCAGAUCACACAUUGGUCUGUCCUCCUUGACACCUAUAUGUUCUCACUAUGGCUCAGAUGCCCAUGUGACUUUUUGGAAGAACAUAAUGAAAAGAAUUCGACUUUUGAUGAAUUUCUCAUGUUUUUCACCACAUUGAGAUGCACAUGUCGUUUGUGUCCUGGGAUAUCCGCAGGAAAUAAGCCUUUCAACAAAGAGAAUCCGCAAUUCCAGUUGCCACAGUCAUGUUCAAAGUUAGACUGCCAGCAGGUUCUGAGGGUGAGGGGAGACUCAGGAGAUGGAGCGAGAGGUAGAUGGAAUAGAUUGAAAUGAAGAGAAAGUGCUUCAAGAGAGGAGGGAGGAGCAGCGCACCUGCAGAGUGAGUUAUACUAGUACCUGCAAGAAUGCUGAGCAAGGACAUGUUACCAGAACUUUCUGUGAGGAAAAUCUUCUGUUUGGCACUACGAAAACAUAUUAAAUAACCUCCAAAGAGUUACUAAUGAUUGGCGUAUGCAGCAGGAUCACCGCUCCUGUAAACAAUAUCUUCUCGGCACACACCUACUAAACAAAUAAAUCAGUCUGGCUGCCUGAGGUGUAAAGUCAGAGGUUCACAGCAGAAAACAAACAGCAUAAAAAUUAUUAUUGACUCCUUUGUACUACUGUAAGAAUCUAAUUCAUUUUGCCAAUGAAUAAUAUGGCCUCAUUUAUUCAGCUACUGUAUGUGUUAUGCUUAUCUGAAACUAAAUAGCACUGACCAUGGGAAAGUAAAGUGAAGGCUUGGAAUAAGCAAACAGCCGGGCUGCCAUCAGAAAUUAUGAUGCCCAGUACUAAUAGAACAGACAGGGCCCACCUCAUCCCUCCCCCCCAGCCUCUGACCCUUUGGAUGCAGAGGUCCAACGAGCCCUGGCUCCCAGAACAGGCACAUGCUAUGAUGUCCCUUCCCGCAUGAUGUGCAAAACUGCGCUAAAGCCAUUGUAACUAAUGACAAUGUAGUUUAAGCAGAUGAUGCAGAGAAAACGCUUGUCCCCACACUGUGCUUGUUCCGGAACCAAGCAUAUGCAAAUACGGUUGCAUCCACACACAUGACCCGACUGUAACAGGGUGUUCUCAUAUAGGCAGAGUUCAGAGAGGGCGUGUCAAGGCAUCUGUGGGCUAUGCAGAGUUGGAUAAAAGCGGAAAUGUGCAUGUGCCCAGGUGUAUUUUUUGCAUAUAGUUUAGGGCUAGUGCCAAGUGCGCACCGAUGAUGAUGAUGACUGAUAGGAACAUAGCGUACCGUUAUGGUGCAGCGCAAGAUGCGUACAACUCUCUGCAUGGAUAAAUAUAACACACUCGAUUUACGUAAACUCUCCAUCAGACUGUACCUGCGGUAUGUACAGAUGUGUCCUCAUACAUCUUUGCUCCAUCGCAUUACACAUAACGAGUGAGUGCCGUGUG